rnacentral:piRNA from 1 species
UGAUUUUGUCCACAGGGUUGAUACUACA